rnacentral:rRNA from 1 species
UCAGGACGAACGCUGGCGGCGUGCUUAACACAUGCAAGUCGAACGGUGACGCUGGAGCUUGCUCCAGCUGAUCAGUGGCGAACGGGUGAGUAACACGUGAGCAACCUGCCCUUGACUCUGGGAUAACCCCGGGAAACCGGAGCUAAUACCGGAUACGAACCGCACAGGCAUCUGCGUGGUUGGAAAGUUUUUCGGUCAAGGAUGGGCUCGCGGCCUAUCAGCUUGUUGGUGGGGUAACGGCCCACCAAGGCGACGACGGGUAGCCGGCCUGAGAGGGCGACCGGCCACACUGGGACUGAGACACGGCCCAGACUCCUACGGGAGGCAGCAGUGGGGAAUAUUGCACAAUGGGCGAAAGCCUGAUGCAGCGACGCCGCGUGAGGGAUGAAGGCCUUCGGGUUGUAAACCUCUUUCAGCAGGGAAGAAGCGAAAGUGACGGUACCUGCAGAAGAAGCACCGGCUAACUACGUGCCAGCAGCCGCGGUAAUACGUAGGGUGCAAGCGUUGUCCGGAAUUAUUGGGCGUAAAGAGCUCGUAGGCGGUCUGUCGCGUCUGCUGUGAAAACUCGGGGCUCAACCCCGGGCCUGCAGUGGGUACGGGCAGACUAGAGUGCGGUAGGGGAGACUGGAAUUCCUGGUGUAGCGGUGAAAUGCGCAGAUAUCAGGAGGAACACCGGUGGCGAAGGCGGGUCUCUGGGCCGUAA